CGACAGCACCAAUCAUAUGGCGCCAACGGUCAGCGGGGCUCGUGGCUUCUGGCUCGCGCUCGCGCUCGCCUCGAGCGUCCCGACCAGCCAGCGUUCUUCUGACGUGGCCAUCGAACGAGCACGGACGUGUCCGCAGCUGCUCAAGCACUCACGCUGGUGGCGUGGGUUGUUCCAGGUUGCAGGCAACGUAUCCGAGGAGGGUAUGGAGUUCUGACUACUGACCGCCUGGAACAACUUCGCGUUCUGAGAACGGGGACCGGCAAGAGACGCAGCUCCGAUCUCCCAGCCAGGUCGUCGCGACGGGAACCGAGAGCGUCACGAGAUGCCGGGUCAUGGUGUACACGGUUGCAGGCAACAUAUCCGAGGAGGGUAUGGAGUUCUGACUACUGACCGCCUGGAACAACUUGGCGUUCUGAGAACGGGGACCGGCAAGAGACGCAGCUCCGAUCUCCCAGCCAGGUCGUCGCGAAGGGAACCGAGAUCGUCACGAGAUGCCGGGUCAUGGUGUACACGGUUGCAGGCAACGUAUCCGAGGAGGGUAUGGAGUUCUGACUACUGACCGCCUCGAACAACUUCGCGUUCUGAGAAAGGGGACCGGCAACAGACGCAGCUCCGAUCUGCCAGCCAGGUCGUCGCGACGGGAACCGAGAGCGUCACGAGAUUCUGGGUCAUGGUUAUCAUGUUGGCCGACCUCGACACCACCGGGUUCAACAUAACUAACUGCAAGACGAUGGAGGGGUGGUCAUUGGUCAACCGAAGUGGCAAUCAAUCGCGUGCCGCGGUGGAUUCAUGUGCUCCUCGGUGACGCAGUCAACGCUGCCUGCCUGCUGUCUCAAGGGACUGUCCACUGACUGAGAUUGACUUGGUACUCUGCCUGUGGCAACCAGUCGCGUGCUCCGCCGUCGUGCAGUCCCAUGGUGGCCACUUCUGCGCCUCUAUUGUGGCCAGUGGGCAGCGGCCAACCGUUCAUCCCGGGGCUUGUGCACUGUUCUGUAUUUGAUGCUUCGAUGGUAUCUUUCCUGCAUUCGGCUACAAUGGCUUUUUCUCAGCGGUGCACAGUGCCUGUUCGGGUCCGGAGGGGCAUACUUGCCGCCCAUCCAUCCCGGGGACUGUGUGCUGUGCUGUACUUCAUGCAUCCCGAUGGUAUCUUCCCUGCAUCGGGAUACAAUGGCUUUUUCUCAGCGGUGCUCAGCGCGUGUUCGGUCCGGAUGGCGUGGGGUACUGCGCAUGGCAUCCACCUCCGCGGACUGAAUGCGGUCAGCCCGGAAAUGAAGGGGACGAGUCGGCGUUGAGCAAAGCGAGCGCAUGCUCCUUCCAGGCAAGUGUCGCCUAG